CUGGUUUAGCACGAACAAAGAUUAAACUCAGCUCUGUGCAAAGUCUCCCUGGUUGAAAGGUUAUCCAAGAUAAAUUGAUUGUUGGGCAAGGAAAUUCCCUGAGGGUGAAAAUUACCUGCUAGCCAUUUGGACAGUAUCUUUUCUAAUAAAAUUCUCUUUCUCUUUC